rnacentral:rRNA from 1 species
UCCGUAGGUGAACCUGCGGAAGGAUCAUUAUAGAAUUGGUAGCUUGCUACCUUCACUAUAAUAUACUGUUCACGUUCCUGUUGCUUCCCUGACAUAUAGGAGGCCUAUUCUUUUGAGUUUGCUUCUGUCAGGGAACUUUGUCAAACAUAAUGUGUAUUUAAUCUGAAUCAACCAUGAAAAUGGAUAUUAAAACUUUCAACAACGGAUCUCUAGGCUCUUGCAUCGAUGAAGAACGCAGCGAAAUGCGAUACGUAGUGUGAAUUGCAGACUCCAGUGAAUCAUCGAAUCUUUGAACGCACAUUGCGCCCACUGGUAUUCCGGUGGGCAUGCCUGUCUGAGCGUCAGUAUAAUCUCAAGCCUCUGCUUGGUAAUGGAAGAUGAUCUGCCUAGCAGUUCACUUCUUAAACUGAUUGGCAAGUUUACAUAGCAGCAAGCGUAGUAGAAAUACCAUCAGCUUAGUUACUCUAUAUUGCUUUGCCACAAUCAAAAAUCAAGGUUGACCUCAGAUCAGGUAAGGAUACCCCCUGAACUUAAGCAUAUCAAUAAGGCGGGGGAGGGGAAGGGUCGGACUGGCCCAAGGGGCACACAGGGGGGAUA